AUCCUUCUCUCUUUCUCUCCCAUAUAUAUAAAAAAAUAAAAAAAUUAAAAAAAAUAAAUUUAACUUUCUUCUUGAAAUAGGGAUUCUGGAUAAUUAGUAGAACCACUCUGAACCUUAAACCAAGUCUAGUAGCCCUUAAGUCAUGAUGAGUGAUUUCAAUCAUAAACCCUUAAGUCUCAAGGAUUAUUGGUAUCUGACUGACUCGGCUCAACCAACCUACAUUAGAUCACCCC
rnacentral:lncRNA from 1 species